rnacentral:lncRNA from 1 species
CCCUCUAGCGUUGCUUGGUUGUUAUUCAAGACUUCUAAGCAUCCUCAAGUGAGUACAUAGUCCCCUCUUUACCGUUUUCAUUGUUUUGGGAUGAAAUGUGUGCUGCUUUGUUGAUACAUGCUAUACAUAGGAUGGAUUCGUGCCUUAGCGACUUUAAACUUGAAAGACAACAUUUGUAUUCAUUUGAUUUGUAAUAAAACGAUGAGUUCAAUAAUUCAAUAAAACAAAAUUAUUUAAUCCAUGGUUGUGAAACAAUGAUUCUAUUACA